AACGAACGCUGGCGGCGUGCCUAACACAUGCAAGUCGAGCGGGGUUUUCGGACCUAGCGGCGGACGGGUGAGUAAUGCGUAGGAAGCUGCCCGAUAGAGGGGGAUACCAGUUGGAAACGACUGUUAAUACCGGAUAAUGUCUACGGACCAAAGUGUGGGACCUUCGGGCCACAUGCUAUCGGAUGCGCCUACGUGGGAUUAGCUAGUUGGUGAGGUAAUGGCUCACCAAGGCGACGAUCUCUAGCUGGUUUGAGAGGAUGAUCAGCCACACUGGAACUGAGACACGGUCCAGACUCCUACGGGAGGCAGCAGUGGGGAAUAUUGGACAAUGGGCGCAAGCCUGAUCCAGCCAUGCCGCGUGUGUGAAGAAGGCCUUCGGGUUGUAAAGCACUUUCAGCGAGGAGGAAGGGGUUGUAGUUAAUAGCUGCAACCUUUGACGUUACUCGCAGAAGAAGCACCGGCUAACUCUGUGCCAGCCGCCGCAGUAACAC
rnacentral:rRNA from 1 species